rnacentral:lncRNA from 1 species
AAUUUGUCGACGAAUUUGAUAUUCUUUUACAAAAUAUACUUAUCUUAAUAUGUAUAACCGGAGUUUAUAUUACAUGCCCCUCUCCCAACGAUAGUUGUAGUACUCUUAUAAUAGUAGUACUCAUGAAUACAGUUAAUCCGGGUUGUUGGGAGAGAUCACAUGCAUAAAUACAACAUGAAACAAACGUGUGAAAAAGGUACAUAAAAUCGGUGUGACCCGUUCUUGUAUUAUAAGAAAUCAACUUGCUUAGGCCUUGCCGGACUCCUCACAACCCGGUGGCUUGAAGGCGAUGAAGCUGAUGCACUGCACUUGCCUGGUGUUGUCGAAGCCGAUGAUGCGGACAUAGGCGUCAGGGUACUCCUUCUUCACCUCCUCCAGCUCCUUUAGCACCUGCGUGGCGUCGGUGCACCCGAACAUGGGAAGCUUCCACAUUGUCCAGUACCUGCCGUCGUAGUACCCGGGAGAGUUGCCGUGCUCACGGAAGACGAAACCGACCUUGCUGAACUCGAGGCAAGGAACCCACUUGGAGCGGAUGAGAUACUCGAUCUGCUUCAAGAGGGACUCCACGGUGAGAGGCGGCAGGUAGGAAAGGGUUUCGAACUUCUUGAUGCCCUCAAUUGGCCACACCUACAAUUAGAUUAAUAAUUAGCACCGAAAGUAUAAUUUGAGACACAUAUCAGUAUUUCACUUCAACAUAUGUACAUGAUGACAUACAUACCUGCAUGCACCUGAUCCUUCCACCGUUGGAGACGCUGCCGAGACCAGCGCUGGCUGAGCGGCGGCCGAUGGGGAGCCCGGCGGUGGACUUGAGGCCCUGGAAAGGAGCAACGGCAGUAGCCGCUGACGACAUCACUGUGGGAGCCAUCGUACACGUACGUAGAUAGCUAACAAGAGGAGGCAGGCUUGCUUGAGUGCUCUCUAGCUACAGCGGCUUAUAUAACUGUAGGCUCCCCACCCAUCCAAUAUCAGCACAAGAUCUAGGAGGGGUGGCUGCAGUUCGCCGCGCGGAUUUGCCCAGGCCACGCUGGCAUCCUACGGAUCAGGUCGGGCGCCACAUGGCCGCACGAAAUGGCGCGCGUUAUCCUCUGGACGGAUACAAUUGGCUGCAACGCACUCUGCAAAUCAUGCCAUGAAGUGACCAAUUUUCACCUAUCAGGAUAGAUCCAAUGUGCCACGGCAUGCACUCAAAAACAGAACUUGCUAAUCCCUCCAAUCCAUAAAAAAUCUCGCCCACUUAUUAGAAAAUUUGUAAUGAGUUAAUGCAAAAUGAGCAGCACUUUUUAUGAACUAGAGGAACAACAAAUUAAGAGAAACUCUUCUAAGAUCUUAUCGAGAACGAAGCUUGCCCCCGCGUCGCUCAGUCUGGGGCGACACGGGCGGCAACCACACCAGCCCCGGCAGCAGCCUCUCCCCGUCCUCUCCUCCCCCUCGCCGCCGCCGGGCAAAGCCCGCACGGGGACGGCGGCGGCGGGGCUGUUUUUCUUGGCGGGGGUGUCCUAGAGCUCUUGGCUGAGGCGUUUGAGGUGCUGCCUCAUCGUGGUCGCGGCGUCUCCGGCCCGAUCCGGCAGGCUAUGCCUCGUCUUCGGCUAGAUCCGGCCGGCUUCCUCCCGGAUCCGGUGUUUCCCCUCGUUCUUCCUCUCCCUGGUGCUCGGUCUGCUCGUGGCUGCGCGGCUUCACGGCGGCGCUCUUCGGCCGGAUCUAGCUACUCGUUGGCCAGAUCCGUCAUCUCCUCCGGCUGAUCCGGCAUGUCCCAGGUCUCUUCGUUUCCAUCAUUUUUCCUCUCAGUUUGGUGAGGCGGCUGAUUGAACUUCACCGGCGGCAGAUGGGCUGCUGCUGCGGCCAUACAUGGUCCAAGUCGGUCCUUUUCGAUGCCAUGGUGGCGUGGUUUUCAUUUUCGGUCGCGUCUUCGGCUGCUGCCCGUGUGCGAGGUAUGGACGUCGGCUCCGGUGUUUGGAGUGUUGCUCUGGAUGAAAACUGCCCGUGUGCGAGGUAUGCCGAAGACAACGAUGUUGUAGCGCCGUUUUCCUUCUUGGAGGUGUCGUCGAAGAGCUUCACUUUCCCUCACUUUGAUGUUUGGUGUCUUCGGGUGAAAACCUAAGAUUUGGCUAUGGCCAGAUCGGGCGACAACGGCGUUUUUACGUCGAUUUCCUCCUUGGGGGCGUUGUCAUGGAGACAACGACUCUUGGUGGCAUCGGGUGGUGUGGUCCGUCUAUGGUGGAGCUUGUUGUCUCGAGUUGUUGAAGGUUUGGUGGUGUCUCUUCUUGUGUCAUGUGUUAGCUUAGGCUGUCGGUUUGUGUCCGGCGAGAACGUGCGUUUCUUAUCCUUUGGUGCGGUUUCGGCAUGUGAUGCCUUUCGUCUUCACUAUCGUCACGUAGGUGUCGUGUUGUAUUCUCGGUGGUGUGUGGUCUUUCGGCUUAGCCAACGGCAAGUGGAGGUAUGAUCUCGGUUGUGUAUUGCCCUUCGACUUCAUCGGCGGCACAUCGGCGUCGCGGUGGGUCUCAGUGACGCGCAGCCCUUCGACUCUGCCGGCUACGUAGGUGUCAUGGUGCGGCCUUGACCCUGUGCUUCCCUUCAGCUACGGCGACGACAUAGUGUCUGGGUGGGCUCGUCAGAUCGACGCCUUUCGACUACAUCAACUAUGCUCUUCAUUGUGCAUUUAUUUUGCCAUUGACAUGUUUCAAGAGUCUAGGUUUUUUCCUUGUGUUUCUUUUAGCAAAUGCUGUUCUGCAGGCUGGCUUUUGCCCACCCGAUCAGAAAAGAAAAACAAAUUAAAGGCUAAAAUCAAGCGAUGUUAUAUUCCCUUAGCUAUUACAAAUAUGGAUGAUAAGAGUUAUUUAUCCUUUUUCAACGAGUAACCCUUUACUUGGAAGUUCCAUGUGCAUGGCGCUGCAAGAAAACAAACAUCAUAAUGGGGCAAGACUUUUUUUUUUAUAAACAUCCAAUUUGGGUUAAAGUCUGAAAGAAUUUGGCUAUCUGAACUUUCAGUUUCCACAUUCUUUUACCUACUCAAUUCUUCAGCCAACAGGAUCAAUGGCGACCUACUAACACCAACCAGAACACAUGGGUCACAAACACGAAAAAGGGCUAGAAGGCUACUUAUACACACUCAUGUGUACUGCGAGCAAAAGAACAUAAUGUACAAAACUUUACAAAAUCUAGGGAAUUAAGACCUUCCCGUAUGCUGUUGCUGCCGCUGCUGCUUCAUGCUGGCUCUCCUGGCAACAUCCCAUGGUUUGUGAGGCACACCUACACCUUGCUGGGAUGCGAAGAACGACUCGUAUCCCGGGGAGUCGAAAGCAAAACCAGUGUGCUUGGAGUUCUCUCGAGGGAGCAUGGAGAUCGCAUAGCUUCUUGCUUCUUCUGGGCUCAAAUGGCUCCUCUCAGGCAGAUGUAUCAUGCUGUAUUCGUGGGGGUCAUCCUUGUGCAUCUCCUGGAUUACUUGGUAGUCAUAGGGAAAGAGCCAUCUUUGGAGCCUGAGAAAGCACACAGCAUCAAAGACAACAAUUGAUUCAGCUACUUCAGUAUGUACAAUGGAAGGAAUAACAAACGGAUGGCAUUAACAAACAUAUAAUUUUGCAAAAGAGCUGGUAUCUUACGAUAGAUACAGGAAAUCACCAAAGAGAGCGAUGACUGGAGCAAGCAUUAGUGUGAGGUAGAAGAAAAAGGUACUCAUCAGAACAUAAAUCACAAAAUAUACAUUUUCCUGCACAAGGUACACAGCAUUAAGUCAAUGCAUUUGUAGCAAGUAAUCGUCAUCAGCAGUGUAAUAGCUACAUUAUUCACCCACCUGUCGGUCAAAUGAUGUCAUUAUCGCAGAAUAUAUGAAGAUAAACAGAAACCAGGCCGCUAUACUGCCAGCUACGCUGAAAUAAUGCCAUCUCGUGAUAGAAUUGCACGACAUGAGGAGACGUAGAUUAACAGUCACCACAACACAAGUAAAGGCCAUCGUGCUAACAUCCCAUUGACCAAGAAUCUUGCCAGAUGAACCGUGACCAUGCUGACUUGCAGCUGCAGUAAAGUAAUAGAACACUAUUGACUGGUAGAAGGCAAAGAAACCCCACACCGCAAUCACUUUCCACCGGAAGAAUGUGUUCCUAAUUCCUUCUUGGUAAAGUUGUGGGUAUUUUUUUGAUAGAGAUGCACUCACAUCCUGAAAGGGUUCAGUUUAGUGAAUGUAGCAAGGAGCGUCACUCCAGAACAAGAAAAGUAGAACAAAUACAAGCAACCAUACCUUAUCAAACAACCCAACCAUAAUUACAGGUAGUGCCGUGAAAAUGACAUUAUACAGAGACUGGAACCAGUCAUCAUAAAAUCGCUGACCAGAAAAGCCAGUUUGGAAAGUGAACCAGAACUGAGUUAGUGUAAAAGUCAGAUUCUUGUAGAAGAAGUAUGUGAUAACCUGAAACAGAAAGUGUCAAUGUUAAAAAAAUUAAACUACACAGAUUGGCAGCUACAAGCUAAGGGACCAAAGCAUACCUUGCACAAUCUCAAGUAUGACCACCGCCCAUGUACAAGAAGUAAAUCCGUAAGAUAUCGAAACUGAGCAAUGGCAAAAUCACUCGCCAUAACAGCUUGCAUUCCUUCUUGUCCGCUGAUGCCAAUACCAACAUGAGCAGCUUGAAUCAUACUCACAUCAUUAGCACCAUCACCAAUACUGAGAGUUAUCUUACGUGCACCUUUCCUAACUAAACUUGCAACCUACAAAUGUGUCAACAUUACAUGUUUUGGCAUCAUUCGAACCCAACAGGUUAUUAGGAAAUAAAUCCAAAAAUAAGAGACUUUGAGAUUGCUGAUGGGAUGGGUAACAACCAAAUAAGCACAUAUACAAUAAGUUAAUUAAUACUACCUUUGUUUCAAAAUAUUAUACCAAAACGUCUUAUAUUUUGAAACAGAGAUAGUACUUAUAGUACAAGAGUGUACAGGACAUUUAGUUAAGAGGCCAAAACUAGAAUAGCAAAAGCAACCAAUGCACAGUGGUUAAUAAUGAUCUUGUGAAUCAUGCACAAACUAUUUUGUUGUCAAGGUACAAAAUUGGAUCCUUUAAAAUGUAAUAAUAUCAAUAUCCCCCGUUUAUUGCCCAAGCAUCCUGAAAGGCAUGCAGCUGAGAGCUGCAGACCAUACUGCUAAUUAUUUCAUGGGAAAAGGCAAGGCAUGCAUGAUAAGAACGCUAAAAGCGAGAAUUGAUAUUUACCUGUGCCUUUUGCAGUGGAGAAACUCGACAACAUACAACUGAUUGGCAAAUUAAACUCAAACCAAGAAGAUUCACACGCAGAGCUGGGUCUAGAGCGUACAUCAAGCAUCGUCCAUCAAUAAUGAAAGCCAACUUUCGUCCUGGCGUGCUCCUCAAAGAACGGUGGGCUUCCUCAAGGUAACUUCUCAGACUCUGUUUUACCGAGUCUUUGAUAACACGUGCAAUUUCCACAGGGUCUCCCUGAAAAUGACUGGAACAUUAUUCAUGGCAAAGAUAUGUGCAUAAGUUGAUUUACAUCAAUCAGAUACAAAUGCUAAAUUGCUAAUUAUGGUUGAUCAAACUGCAAAACACACGAGAUAUCCAAAAGGCUAUAUAAACAUGAUGGAGAGGCUAAAGCACUGAAACAACAGAAUCAACAUAAAGUAUUUUGUACUAUUAUGCAACUAAGCCUUUUGUCCCAAGCAAGUUGGGGCAGGCUAGAUAUGAAACCCAAACAGAAACUAAAGCAAAGUGCAGGUAACAAAAGAGCAAGAGAGUAAAUCAAGGUUCAGGCACAUGGACUGCUGAUUUCCAUGCAGCCCUAUCAAAAGCAAAAUCUCUAGAUACAUUCCAGUCCUUCAAGUCCCUUUAACUGCCUCCUACCAAAAGCAAAUAUCAUAGUAAUCCACCAACCAAAGUAACAAGGGAACUACUUGUAACUUCUUAGUUCACAAGUACAUACCAGUUGAGCUAUCCAAUUAUUCUAAAUAAUAUGGUUUGAUACCUUUACCAAAGUCUCAACUUGUAUUCAUUUUAAAGCUUAUACAAGAUAUUAUAUGUUAUGGCUUAACAGUCUCCAUGACACAAUAUGGCUUGACUUCACAGUUUAAUUCUAUAGGAUUAUCUUACCCUGUCUUCAGCAUCUCUAAUUGCAUCUGUCUCAGAAGUGAUGAUGAAUUGUUUUGUAUCGUUAUUCACCAGGCUGCACGCUGCAGAGCAAAAACUAAAUAACUUCAGAAGCUUUUCUAUGUCAGGUGAAAGAGAGAGAAAAAGACCGCCCGCCCCCCACCAAUAAUCCAAAACUGAGCUUCUAUUAGACCCCUUAAGAACGAAACAAGCAUGCAAAUUGAUCUAUAUAUAAUUAAAACCUCACCAUAUGCUAUAUUAAUUGCUGUUUCCAUUUUAUCUCCAGUUAGCACCCAAAUUUUUAUGCCAGCUGCAGAAAGAGUUUCAAUGCAGGCUGGAACCCCUUCUUGCAGUUUGUCUUCUAUUGCAGUGCACCCUAUCAAUAUAAGGUCCUUUUCAAUCAACUCAGCCACCUACAGGGGAAGAAACAGAAGGAAAUUAUAUGGCAAUGUCCCAGCAAUAUCUUAAAUCAGAAUAUACAUUAAGUCUAUUACUUCAAAUUCCUUUUUCCUAGAAAUCACAGUGAACUUAGUACAUGAAAGAAUGAAAGGAUAAUGCUUUUCUAAUGGGGAUUUGAAAAAACAUCAUAAAAAUAAUAAUAUAAAGUACUGUAUGUUCUUGUUCUAGAUAAAUUACAAAUAUCUUUUGCUCAUGAUCCUCUUUCCUGACUAAAAAAUAUAUAUUAUUAUGUAAAAUACUAAUGUUCUAUGGCAGUACAAGAUAAUAAAUUAGCACAAAAAACUAUUAAACUGCAAAUGUCAGCUGUUAGGGAUGGAUGACAUGACUCCUGUAGUUUUGGGGGGAGAGAGAGAGGAGACACACUGAACAAAUUACUUCCUUCGUCUCCAAAGAUUGCCAUGCCACAUUCUAUUCGGUCAGUCAACCUUUUACAACUUCAAAAUUAACAAUUAUAAGUGAAUUGAAUUACUACAUGAAAAAUAACAGCACUCAAUUUGCUUGCAUAAUAAUUUGUACGCAAAACUUUUGCUUGUAUAUUAGCAUAGAAAUCAUAGCCAGAGUUUUAUGUUGGGAGAAUAUAAAAUUAAAAAAUGGCCUACAUUUGUCAGGUACAUUCAGUUAAUUGUUUCCAAAACCAAAUUAAUUUUCAUACAUAAAUACCAAACGGAUCAAUAGCAUGCUCAACAGUGCACAUGAGACUCGAGUUCAGUACUGGAUGACAGAAAGUAAAAAAAAUCAGGCAAGCACUAGAAGGUGGAGGGGAAGUAAUCGAAAUUCAAAUCACAGGGACUGUUCAGCCUGUAUACUCAACAGAAGAGGAUGGUACACAUACCUCAUCAAGCUUCUUAUCACGAUCUCGUAAAGAAGAUUUAGCUUGAACAAACUUCUCAUUCCAGCUUUCGUACUGCUCCCUGCUUAGAUCUCGAUAAGCAAGGCAAAGCGUGCGCAAGCCAGCAGAGCCAAAUUGUUCUAGAUGUUCUCUGCUUGUCUUUUUAAUGUCAUGAUUUCCAUCAGCUAACCGUUCAAAAAUGACAUUAUCAGCGCCCUGUUACACAACAUUUGUAUAAGGUUAGUGCAUCAAUCUACAAAGUGAUAGCUACAUAAAGAUUCUUUUUUCUUGUAUUACCUUGCAAUACAGAACAAGUUUUCCAUUUGGGAAACGGCAAACCACAGAUUGGCGCUUUCUUGUACUGUGAGUGCAGUAAAGUGUGAAGUGCAGAACAAUGAUUUCAUCUUGUCAAAUUUAAAUUGAAAACAGAUAAACCAGACCUGUUGAAUUCCAAAACAUUCAGAAUUUCAUAUGCAACAUCUUGUAUACUCCCCAUCCUCUCAACAUGUGAUUCCCGAACCAAGACUGUGGUUGGCGUACGUCUACAAGACAGGCACAAAAUGUCAACCACCGGCAUUGCCAUUCACAAUAAAAAUGCCACAUGAAAUAAUUUGCAACAAAAAUCAUAAGAACUUAGAUGAGUUCAUGUUCACAGCACUUGCUUUAACACUUGUCUUAAUUUACAACGGCAAUUUUUUGUUGAUGGGCUAAUAGUUUAUUUAUGCUUCUUAGUAUGUACAUUCAGUCCUUCAUACAACAAACUAUAUAAGCAAUAACCUGGGUGAGUGACUCUUUUAUGCACAUUUUCCUUGGGACCAUAGCAUAGUUUUUUAAGAUACCUUGUUUGCAACAAACUGAUAAGAGGAAUCUAUAACUGUAUUUAAAGGCAAGGUAAGACAUGCCUAUAAAAGAAGAAACCAAAAUUCUUCGCAGCAGCGACAAGCGCGGCCUCGUCGGGAGAGGCAGCUUGAUAAGUAAUCUUUUCCGGUGUCUCCUCACCCUCAGGAAGAACUGUAUGACAGAUUGCAAGGCAUCUGCAGAAUUGCUAUAGAGCAAAUAACAAAGUUGUUACACAACUAGCACAUUAACAAGGGAAAAUGUGAAAAAGGAAAAUAGGUUCCAAAUUUUAUUAGUAAGGGCAUAUAUCGUGAUAUGUGAAUAAUUUGUGUCAACUAAAUCAAAACUGAUUAUGACCAAAGGGGAACCAAUCGAACUAUUCCACAGGUAGUCCCGUAUUUACCACGCAAGCAUCAGGAUUAGGUUCAUUUCUCCAUGCACCACGCAUUAUUCUAGCAUCAUCAAAGUUGAAUCCUUUCUCAUGAACUGCAGUGGCUGAUCUUUUACCCUAAAAAAGGCAAGUAAACUGGAUAUUAAAUCAGUUGUGCAUUAAAUUUUUCAUCAUAUACCACCACACUUCAAUAGCGUAAACAACAAAGAAAAUGUUGUAGACCUCAUCAUCAUCAAUCUUGACUCCGGCUCGCUCGGCUCCUCCUUUUUCAAUCUCUGUGAUGCCAGUUCCAUAUAUUUCCCCUCCAAUCGAACAUUUAAAGAAUUCCAUCAAGUUUCUUGUAAGUGUUCCAGUUUUGUCAGAAAAUAUAUACUCAACCUGAACCAUUAGUGGGGCAAAAAAAAUUUGGCAGAAAUGUCAAAUUAUUUGCAAGUGUUAAGUGCAUUUUAGUACCACUCGGCAUUUGUUCAGUCAUAUAAGCAUUUCUGGGGAUCUAGAACAGUUUUUCGGUGGGAGUAAGUCACUUAAUAUUAGUGAAAUGAGACUGUUCCCCAAGUGCUUAUAAUUGAUCCCACUUUCUGGAAUGAGUCGGUGCAGUGAGGUCAUUCUAUCCAUUAACCAAACCCAGCCAUAUAGGUCAAAUAAGUAAAUAACCCCAUUUCAGCAACAAACAAAGGGGCUUUCAUCAAACUAAACAGAAUGCUAAGGAACAAAAAAAAAACUGAUAUUACCUGCCCAAGCUCCUCAUUCAGAUUAGAAGUCCGAGCCAAAGCUGGGGUGUUGCUCUCGGCAUGAUACAUAUUCAGAUCAUUGUUAAUAAACUUUGCACACUGAAUGAAUUUGAUCAUCUGCCAGCCAAAAUAAACAUAAGGUCCAAUCCAAAUACAGGGUACACUAAAUGAUAAAUUGGUCAAUAUACCUCAAUGGAUACAUAAAGAGAAAUGGGGAUGAUCGUUGAGUAUAGAGUUAUUAGAGUAAACAUAGUUAAAAUGGUCACCUGCAAAAGUACAAACCUAUGAUAUAAGGCCACUUAGAGAAUAUUCUCUACAAUAAAUUAACUAAAAUAAUAUAUACCACAAAUCUGUUCUUGGGAUUAAACUGGUCCUCGACACGCCCACGCAAUCCAAGAUAGAAGUAUUUCUCAUUAAUAAACACGCCACUGUUCACAAAAGCCAAGUAUGAUGAGUCCAUUGGUAGAGUUUUAGGUUUCUAAAGAACGUGCAAGCUAAGCAGUCAUAGUUACCAAAAUCUAUAUGCUGAACAGAGCACUUCCAUUUCUGACCAUCUAGAAAGUGCCCUAUUAUGUACCUCCCACAUAAAACCACUAAGAAAAAAGAUAAGGCUAUUAAGACCUAGUCAUGUGCUCAUCUAUACUGCUCCUAUGCCACAAUAAAAAAAUAACUUCCCCAAACAAGCUCCUGACAACUCAUGUCAUAAUGUUUAAAGUUUAUCUCUCUAUUAACAGUUGUUUUUUCAUGAUCAAUUAAAUUGUGAAAAAUGAUUGUGCAAGCAUAAGCCUCCACAACAUCAACCUAACCGAUAUAACUCAUGUUCAGAGAAUAUACAUGUAAACAAUAAUACAAGAUAGAUAAGUCAAAUAAAUGAAGUGGGCCAAAUAAAACACUGACCUUCCAAUAGCACCAAUGACACACAUCGUAAAGAGGGUUGCAAAUAGAGCAAGAAUAAGCUUGUCUAGUUUCUUCUCCAAUGUACUUCUUUUAGAGGGAACAUUCAUAGAAUUCAUCAUAACCUGCAAUAGUGUCCCACUGCAGUAAAUCUCAAAACUAGAAGCACAUCUAACCUACAAGUUGAAUAUAUAGGGACACAAAAUUGCACAUACUUUCGUCUCAUGGCCCGUGAAUAUAACAGCCGCGACAAUGUACUCUGUAUUACGAAGGCUGCAUCCCUGUGGCAAAGUGGUAAUAAGAGGUUGCAUGUGUGCCACAUAAAGAGAGAGAAUUAAGUGUCAUGCAAGACACCGUUCAGUCUGGUGAAAGUAAACAUUUCUUUUGCACUUUACAAACAUUGCUUCAACCCUUCACCACUUAUCCUACAUAUGGGACUAGAGAAGAAAUGGAAGUUGUUUAUAUGAAUGUUAAACAUUUCCAAAUUGUUUAUAUCAUAGCUAUCCUUGUUUGCAAACCAAUAAGAACAAUAUUAUUAUAGAGGUGUUUUAUGAUGAAAAUUUCUGCUGGUGACAUUUGGGUGUCGUCAAUAUUGGUAUUUGGAGGAGAUGUUGGUGAUCAAAGUUAAAGGCCGAGUAAAGGCAUCACGCUAUGAUGUUAUUUUUUACCUGAGGGAUUUUCUUAACAAACUCAUGCUAAAUCUAGAACAUGCAAACAACUUUGCAGGUGGACAAUCUUGUAAAGAAAUUUCAAGGGCAUGUUUGUGUGAGGGGUAUUACUUUGGUACGUGUUGGUAACUACAUACCUAAUUGUUACAAGAAAAAUCUCAUCCAAACAAGCCCUAAGGACAUUAUGGACCUUGCUACUGCAAAGUUGGUAAGUCGAAAAUACGACAGGAUGUCUGAUUGAUAUGUAGGACCUGGACCCACAUGUCAUUCUCACAGCGAGUCGCACUAUUUCAAAUGUCAACUUUGUGGUGGCAUGGUUUCAAUUUUCCCAAUAAGAAACUAGAUACAAAUAGCAUAGAUGAACAGCACUUACCCUUAGUAGUAUUUGAUUUGGUGAAAUUGGUAUAGUUUGCUUGUCCACAAUAAGGUUCCCGGUAAAUGUAUAAAGUGAAUUGUUUGGCUGUUCGCAUUGUAUUUCACCUGUAAGCCAUGAAACAUACAGAUAAUGUGAAGUUAAGAAAAUGUAGAAUAGUUAAGUGAAGUUCAGAAAAGGAGCAAUGCUUCCUACACCAACUACCGAAAAAUGUCUGCAACAUGGAACAAGAAUAGAUAAAAACCUUUGAAUUCAGAAGCCUUUUCAGGAAUUACGCAGUCCCAGGUUUUCUCCAAAGCCUUCCUUAUUUUCAGGUUAGUUUCCCCAUCAAGAUUUGCUGUCUAAGGUAAAUAGAAGUAUGAUACACUUCAAUUAAAACAGAGUUUCUCUAAAUCAUUCAAUAAUUUCAAUUUGGACAAAAGAUGGAGAAGGUAAGAAUGAAUAUAUUGACCUCUAUGUAGCAGACACCAUCAGGGUUCGUACUUGAUAGGAAGAGCAAGUCAGAAGGAAAGUAAGUGUCUUGCUUGAUCUGCUCUAAAGAAGUGCCAUCACUAUUAGUCUUUUUGGAUAUGUGUAUCGAGCUGAAGAUUAAAUUUGCACAGCACAAAAGAUCAAGUGCAUUAAUUUGUGGAAGCAACAGAUCAAUUGAAUUGAUCAUCAAAUUGCUAUCAGGAAAGAUGAAGACAUUACCCUCACAAUAUCUCCAACCUGCAGUCUUUUCCAAGGGGCACUUUCCCAUUUUUGACCUUGCAAUACAUCGACGUGCGCAUUAUUAAUUGACAUGUCAUUCUGGAAACGUUUCUGUAUAAUGGGAGGCAAACAAAAAGGGAAGAAUAUCAGAUAACAUUAAGAAUAGCAAUAAAAUAGUGGAGCAACAGAGCAUGAGAGCAAUACUAACCCAGUCCUCAAAAGCUUCCUUGAUGAGUGAAACCAAAAGCACUAAACUAAGUGGAACCACAUUGGUGACAGGGUGGACUGGACUGCGAAGAUACAAGCAUGUAUGAACUAAGAUUUCUAGAAGUAAAGGUGAAGGAAAGCAAAGGAUGACUGAAUCAACUGAUGGACUUGAUAUGCUAAGAAGUGUCUAGCUGUAACAUGAGAAUUCCAUAGGGUGCAUGCAUGAGAGAGAGAGAGAGACCUAAUUGGUGUAGUCGACAAGAUUGAAAUCAUAAGAAAGUAAAGAUUUGCCACCCGUCUGAACUGUCAAAGCAAAAAAAAAAACAAAUGAAUUACAAAAGGUUCCUAUGGUCAAAUUGCGAUAAUACAGAAAGGGAACAUCUAAAUCGGUGUUACAGCUACCAUUGCAAAGUUUCUUUAUUCGAUAUGGAAAAAUGCAUUACAUGUUUAAUGUAUGAAGCCAUUGAAAUACUUUAAUGUACCUUACGUAAAAAACAGUGGAUAAUGAAAUUGCCAGAAUUAUGGUAUCGCAUAAAAUGAAGGUUACAUUGAGCGAAAAGCAUGAUCAGGGCUUUACCAAAUAACAAAAUCAUACUUCUCCUUUUCUCAAUAUAUGGCAUUUUAGGUUUCAUUGAAGACAAGUCUUUGAAAAGGAUUUACUUUGUGUUGUUUUUAAGGCAUGAAAUUUAUAUCACUAGAUUCAUCCUCAAAAGUACUUAAUGUGGAUUCAUAUCAUAUAAAUCACAUAUUAAUGAAGUAAUUCUUGGUCAAAGUCUUGUAUUAACGAAACCUAAUAUGUCCUGUAUUGACAAAAUGAGGGAGUAUAUUAUCUAACAGUGCAUGUAUACAGGCACGAUACUGGUAGCGCGUAUUACAAGCAAGGUAUCUUAAAAACAUUGCAACACAGUGCCAGACCAGGUAAGCAACUAAGCAUCUCAUGUAUCCACUAUUUUAAGGGAAGUUGAUCCAGAGUGAGGAAAUAAACAUUUUUAAGGAGAUAUAUCAAUUUGCAAUGUGAAAAUGAUACGGAGUAGUAUAAUCAUUUCACUGUGAUAACAAAUACUCCCUCCGUUCUAAAUACUUGUCGCUGUUUUAGUGCAAACUAAAACAGCGACAAGUAUUUAGGAACAGAGGGAGUAACUUCCAUUUACCGUUAGACAUGAUACAAAAUAAUAUGUUGAAAAAAAAUCUAGCCAAAAACUAAAAAACAAACAGAAAAUCUGCAUUAAACGAUGACAAACCCAGCAGGUAUGUUGAUUAACAAAAUAUGUAUGAACAAAAAACAACGCAUCAAUACCUGUUCAAACAAUCCUUUAGGUAGAAAUGUCAGCACACUGUACUUUGUAGUCGACACAGAAUUUCCCUGGAAAUGUAGAAUGAGAAUGUUAAAGAACUAAUUCUAGCAGAAAAACAAAGUAGCGCUCUGCAUUAGAAUCGCGAUGGUCUGAUACCCAACAUGAGGGAGAUUCUGAAACUAAACAGAAGAGCUAAUUGCAACUAGAAGCAUGAAAAAAGUAUAGCUUGAUCUUUUUACAACAUCAAGUCUGAAUACAUUCAAGCAUUUACACUAACUUGGAACAAAAUGUGGGUGUCAAAGAAAAUGCAUGAAUACACCUACUUACAAUAAAGCACCAAUUUUGCAGUGAUUGGACAAACUAUGGUUAAAAUACUUAAUAAUAGAGUUCUACGUAUUUGGAGGCAUAAAACGCAUUGCAGUUGGAGCAGUGGCAUUAUCAUGUUAGUCAGUCUAACAUGGCAGUGAAUGACGUGAAUUUUUUGCUAGUUUAGACCUCUGGCCAGCGCAAUUGACAAAAAUGCCCCCCUCUCAAAACUAAUGCCAAAAAUGGUCUGGCAGAAGGCCCGAAAGGCGCCACAUUUCAUUUUUCGCCAUCUGAGCUGCGCAUGCAAACAUUCCGACAACCUGAAAGGCGGAAAGGCCGUUCCGCCUACUGCAUUUGAUGAAUGCACCUGACAAGGGCGGAAGGUGAACUGGGCCCUGCAGAUGGAAGCAAUUUCCACAUUUGUUACAGACCUGGAAUCUUUUUUUUUGUUGGAGUCGACGGACCAUGUAUGUGCGGAUGCAUAGGAAUCGGCAAGCAGCCUAGCUGCUAGUUCACGGGCACGUUUUACAUUUUCUUUCCUCAGGUUUGGCUAGUGCUACCACGUUGAUACUAAUCAACGCUUCUUGUGAAUGGGCUUAGUUGCUUCUACUAGUCGUGCGAGCGUUAAUCUUUUCUCUGUGCGCCUGCAUGUGCGGGCGUGGGAAUCGGGUCAGGUCCCUGCAGACAGCACGCCUGGCUGCACUGGGCCUGCUUCAGCUUCCGCCCCUGAAAAUUCACUUUCGUCCAUUUCAACUGGAAACAAGUAGGCUCCACCUGUCCUGUUGGCGGAAAGUUCAUUCCUCCUACCCAGUGGCCACUGGGUCAGUUGCUGGGCUUUCCACCACGUCAUUUUUCAAAUUAUAUUUCAGAUGGAGCUAUUUUUGCCAAUUCCGUUUGACAAGGGGCUACAAGAGCAAAGAAAUUGAAUGACAUAGCAAGCAAUCAAUUUCCCCUUAUAGGUAAAUAAUAAACAGCUUUGCUUCAGCUUACUGUCAUCAGCUGGUGGCUGACUGCCCUGACCAAACACAAGUUCAGUAAUCUACACAGCAAGCGGCACACAGGUGCAGCUAAGCACAUGGAUGAACAGAAUAUUCCAGCCAUUGAGGCUCAGCUCUCGAAGCUUAAUGCCAGGUGGCAUCUACAUUGUAUUGCAGCCCGUAGCACCCUGAUUGACUAGUAACCCAACAAUGAGACAAGCUCUAAUCCACCCAAUGACCUCACAGUUGGCAAGAAAUGCAGCCCUUAGUGACACGCACCACCCUACAUAACUUUCUCGUGGACUAAUCAGUAUGAAUCAUAUAAACCCUCUGCAAGCUGCAGUGAAAUAAAACUACUACUACUGAACUAGCUAUUGUCCCAGAUGGCCAUCUCCAACCCAACCGCCCAAGCAUGAAACAAGGGGCCAGUUACGAGAUCUAGGCCUACAGACCCCUAGACCUUGAGACAACCGACCUGUUGAUCAUCCGAAUUAGAGGAGGAGGUGCACACCCGUACCUUGUACCCGACCGGCGCGUUGGCUUCGCGGUCGUUGCAGUAGAUGGUGCGCACGGUGGGUGCCUGCGGCUGCGGCUGCCGUCGGAGGCUGCCGCCCCCGCCGCCGAGACGCGCCGUCCUGGACGCCUCAGCGCGGCCGGCCUGAGAGGUCCCCCCCCGCGGCGACUGCUCGCCGCCCAGCCGCGCGGUGGCAACCCGCAUCAUCUCCUUUAUGCGCGAGCUCAUCCUGCCCCCCUCAGCGCCAAACCCAGCGCUGGAGGAGCCGGCGGGAGAUCUGGGGAAACCUCACGGUGGAUCGGAGGGGAGACCUAGUCGGAUUUGCGCGGCUUUCUGGUGGAUUUCAGUGCCUCGCUGAGGAGGGGAUUCGAUUUGGGUCACGCGUUCCCGUAUGUGCGUAUUUUUUCCGUGUAAUUUUUUUGUUUUGCCUUUUUCUUUUCCUUUGGCUCCGGGAGAAGAGAAGACAGGAGGGGAAGGAAAAGCGAAGGUCGCGACUUCGCGAGGAAGAAAAUGAAGGGAUUACUGCAGAUCACACCCUUGAUUAUUUUCGAAUAUGGAAAGCUCCAGUAACUGAAGUUUGAAAUUCCAGCCGCGUUUGUCUUUUCCUUCUUCGAGCAAACAACCGUGUUCUUGACUUGUUCUAUGUUUUUGCUGUCCGGAGGACUACCCGAUUUGCAAGUAAAUAAUGGCAUUAAUUUCAUAUAAGCACUUUAGGACACCACACUUGACAUGGUUUUCUACUGACGACGACUAUAUGGUGGCUUUGAUGUUCCAUGAAUAGAUCUUUUUAGCGGUGUUUCAAGUUCAGGUGUUAUAACAAAGCAUUACUCUUGACCUAUCUUCCCUUGCGACCAUGCUUUUUGAAUCGCCAAGUCGAGUCGAAUCGCCCCCCAACAGACUUGGAGGUUAGUAUGAUUAGUCAGAAACUAGUCUCGACUAAUCAACCCAAGUCGAGCCUAGUGAUCAGUGAGGUUUAGGGAGCUCUAGCAGGGAGCAUUAGAGGAAAGGAGUGAAUUGCAGUAGAGGGGAAGCACGAGGGAACAGUUUUUGUGGUGCUGGAGCUUGAAGAAGAGGUUCAUGGCGGCUAGGAUCUAGGAGUCGAUAAACUUAGAACGCCCGUGUUGAGGCAAACGCGUUGAGGAAGACGACUUCAAAGGUGGUUGGCUCAUUAUCAGGAUAGGUGCGUGCCUGGCAGCCCAUAAAGGCCUAUUAGAAAACCCUAACUCCCCCCUCCCCCCCCCCCCCACACACACAUUGCCUUCUUCUACACCACACACGCACCAAUGGCGGCCAUCUUCUUCCCCUUCCCUGCUGCUCCCCAUGCCUUCUCUCCCUCCCCGAAAAGAAAUAUCUUCCGAAAAUUCUUCUCUUCGAGUCAAGUUGAGGGGCUCGCGGCGUUCCUAGUCACGGCGGCUAGUCGGAGAAGUCGCGGUUCUAGCUGACGAGUCGCGCGACUUGCUCUGCUAGUCGAGUCGCGGCUGCAAGCCGCCAUCAUUGUGCUGGCUCGGCGACUAGUUGGCGAUUCAAAAACCAUGCUUGCGUCUUAUAAUUUUGUUUCCUCUUAGAUUUUUUUCAAUUAUGUAUGGAACUCUUUUAAGCUUGGCUAACAUAUUGGGUCAAUUUGUCUCCCAUUGAAAAAAAAACAAUUUCCUAUAAAAAAUAAAGUAUCCACAAAACAAUAUGCAUAGCGCAGUUGUUUUCAAAGUUGUGGAUGAAACUUUGUGUUGUACAGGCAACCACUUAAUAACUUGUUCGGUUGUAGAAUUCCCCGCAUGUAUUGAAGAGGAUUAAGAGAGAUCUAAGGAAAAUUGAUCUGCAAUUCGAUCAUUCCCUCUUAAUCCCCAUCGGAGUGGAAUCAACCGAACGGGGCUAAUGUGGACCAUAUCACCUUGAGGACUCCAUUCUUCUUUUAUGGCAACGUUGCAUGGACCUUGAUAUGAACGCACGUGCCUGCAAUCUCUAUUAUUUUUUCGUAAAUAGCAACUGUCCUUUCUGUAUCUUGUAAUAUGUUUUCUACAAUUUUAUUUGGGAUAUUUCGUCAAGAACCCAAAUCGAUUACAUUUUCCACUUUGGCGAAUGAGUCAAGAUUCUCCAUGUGUUCCAGCGAGGCAACUGCGAGCUACACAUGUAUGGUGAAACAAGCCUCGCAACUUCGUAAGUAACUCCAAAACUACAUCAGCACGUCUCUUGAACUUUGGAAACACACAGACGUGUUCCACGACCGUGAGGCGACGGAGUUAACGGGGCAGCGUUGCCGGAAAGACAAGAGUACCGUAACAAGGCCCAGACUGGGCUGCAUCGGCGUUCUGCCUCUAUUACAAGCGAGAGAUGUUGAACCGGCCAAGGUUAGGCAAGGCAGUCAGCGGGAGGAUUUUUUUUUUUUUGUUGUUGGUUUUGAAGAGGCGCGGGAGGAGAAGAACUUGCUUGACCAGCCCACAAGAUCGUGAACCGGUAUGACAUUGACAUUUUAUUUAGGGCCAGUAACGUGUAAUUAGAAGUACUAGCUUACAUCUCUUCCUUUUUGAACCGUCAGAUCUGCAACCAUAUCAUCUCUCCCCUUUGUCCUCUUCGCUAUGCCGAUUUUAGUGAAACGCCGCUGCCAAAUCUUCACAGGAUUGUGAACCGGCAGCAGCUUCGACCCUUCAAUAUUAUUAUUACAGCUAAAUAAAAGACUGAAAUUAUAGGUGAGGUCCUUUGUUCUAAUCGCCCAAGCGAGCAGAAGCCAAGAGAUUACGUGCAAGCAUAGCAUGGCCAUGUUCGCCAACUCAUGACAUAGUGGCACAGGGACUAACCACCUGGAUUACAUGGCUAGCUUCCAUAUAUGUGCAACAAAAUAUUGGUACCAGGCAGCCAUCUGUGCCACCAACCAUAAACUCCCUGAUCCCAAAAAAUACAAAAUACCAAGAGUUUCCACCCACAUCAGUACAAGUGCACAACAGUUUAAGAGACAAGCCAAGGAUCAUUCCCAGUUUGUGGGAAUAAAUAAGAGUCCGCAGCAAACAGAAAACUCAAAAUCGCUGGCAAAGUUAGGAUGUGGAAAAAAGAAAGGCUUAAAAUGAUCUAGCCAUGGCGUCAGAAUCUAUUAUCAAUGUUUCUCUCUCAAGGAUUUCCCUUCUAUAUAAAGUAUAAUAUUACAAAGGGGCUGCUUAAAUAUCAUGGACUCCUGGAAUGUAAAGAGGGUAAUAAUCAACACUACAUGAGCCUCCUUUUUCCUGAGGCUGCUUCCUAAGACUGACUGACUGCUUCCCCGAGGAUCCACAUACACCCUCCCCUCUCCUCAAGUUCCACCUCCCACCAUGGAAGUUAAACCCCCACCAUGGAUCCGAUGCUAACCAACUGUACGCGACCUGGAGAAAGUCAGUCAGCUUGGUGGUUCAAUCAAGACAGAGCAUCACGAUAUUGCCCAAAUGGUAUAAUUGGCAGGAUCAAUAAGUAGUUUAUGCUCGCAGCAAGAUCCAAAAGAACCAAUCUACCAUGACUAAUGUAUGACAAGAAUGAUGUCUUAUGUCUACUUUCAGAUACACUAUGGUCCAGGUGAAACAAUAUUUUAAAGUUUAGUAAUUACUGGCAGUAGUAGACAGACCACAGAAGUGUAAAGAUAUUUGCACACAUGACCUUUUAAUCCAAGGCUAACCCAACCUUGUAAGCUACGUGCUGUUUGUGCUAACGCUGCUGCUUGAAUGCAAUUAGACAGUGGUGAUGUCCUUGUUAGUCUGUUACAUACCUAAGGCAUCACCUCCUGAUUCUAGGUUUGCACCGGAACUCUGCUAAGAGCGCUAUGUGAUCUGAUGACCAUUCAGGUGAAGGAAGAGCAGUGUCUUUUCUUAAGCUCUCCUCAUCCAGAAGUUCCAACAAAGACUCCACGGUCAACGAAUCCGCUGAAACAAUAAAGGAAACAUGAUCAACUGACCAUAAUCAAACAUAUCACAAUACUACAAGCUGAUUCUGAAGCAAUUCCCAGAAGUCUAAAUACAGCAUACAGGUCAGGUACCUACCUGUGUAAAAUAUAUAAUCAACAGUUCCAGUGAAAUCCCUUGUGCAAUUUGUGAAAAGUGGUUCAUUUGUUCCUGGAUCCAUCCUCCUUCGCUGGUGCUCUAAAUCAUAGCCAACACCUACCAUUCUUGCAAAUGAAGAAUAUGCACUGACCUGCAAACAAGUAAACAUUGGUCAGAAUUUUAAAGGAAGAACAAGAUAGACAAGCUUGAUAGUUUUACUGUACCAGAGGAAGCUGGUGCGUCAACUUGCUCACGGGGCGUAAAAUUGAAAGUGGGUCUAUGGCCAGAUCUGGAUGCAAUUGAUCAACUUUGCCCACCGCAAGAAGCCCAUGUGGAGUACUGAAAGACAAAAGGAAGCACUUAGAGAUUUAAAGUUAGAAAAAACAAGUAAACCUGAAAAAUAUUGCUCCAAUAGAAUCUUGACAUGCACCUCCCCGGGAUUGAAUUGAAAUCCCCACAGACCAACAUUGGAAUGUCUGCACUGUUGGCUAUUUUCUCCAAUCCUUUUAGUAGUGUUUGAACCUGCAAAAAACAUACUUACUUUCGAUCUGAAUUUUUCAGAUGUUGCAGAAUGCUAGCCUACAGAGAAUGUGACAAUACUGACCUCCCAUAGUUUCACAUCUUUGAGGUCUUGGUGGACAUUUACAUGUGUAUUGGCCUGAAAUUUGAGAUCAUUUAAAAGAAUGAGACCUCCAUGACUCCAAGUAGCAUAAGCCUAGGCCGUAUGAACAAUGGGAAAUCUGUAGUAAAGUUGGCCUCAAAAUCUAGAGUCUAGAGAGCCAAGUCCCAAUCAUCCGCCAUUAACAUAUAGAUGUUUCCGUGCAUCUUAUGCUACUAAGGUCAUCCUACACAGAUAUAUGUUUCACUUCAUUCCUAAAUGUUGUGAGCAAAGAAGGAAAAGAAUCCAUAUGUUGUUCUGCACUAUGCUGCUAGCAGUUCAAUAGCUAAACAUACGGGAAAGUCCACUUUUGGCCCCUUAACUAUUGCCUCAGAUCAAAAUCAUCUAAUUUGCACCCUCAACUAUCAAAAGCAUCCAAGUUACAUCUGAAGGCAAUAUUUGUUAGAGGCUUUGUGUGAUGUGGCAUCCAUGUCAACGUGUUUUGCCACAUCAAUCGCUGCUGGGCAGUAGGGCCCACAUAUCAUGGCUGCCGUGCCCCUUCUUUCUUUAUAAUUCUUCCUCCUUAGCCAUGCCAUGGCCUCCUCUGUAGGCUAUAGCUUCCACUGCUGCUGCUACAGAUAACCCAUGUUUGACGUUGCAUAACAUCUUCUGAUUUAGAGAGGGGUAUCCUGACAGACAUGUACCAGUCUCCGCAAACCGCUGCACGGCUGCAUCCUGAGGGGAAUGGACAAAGAGAGGAUUAGAGAGGAAGGCUGAGGAGGGAGGCGUUUAGGGCGACUCCAACACGGCCACCCAAAUCGGACACAAAAAGUGUGUCCGUUUGGGUCUGCUGGUGCCCCUAACACGGUCACCCAUUUGGUCCGUUUUAUUAUUUAGUAUUGGCCACGGAUAGGCGGGCCAGGGCAAGGACAAGGGAGGACAAGCGCAGUGUCCACCCGCUGUCCGCCCAGACACAAACCCGGUCAGAUUUGGGUCGGCAAUGGGUUGAGCUGGACAGAAAAGCAGACAGCCGCCACACCGGACGAAAUGGGUCGCCGCGUUGGAGUCACCCUUAAUGCUAAGCUGGGAAAGAGGAAGGGAACAGAAAUAAGAGGAUGAGGACAAGGGAGGGAGAAAAGGGUGCUUCCAAAAAAUCAAUCCCAGGCAUGUGGGGCCUACUGCCCAGUGGAGAAUGAGAUGUCAAAGUUGCUGAUUUGGCGGCUACAUACAGAAUAUCACUCAUGAAACCAGCUUCUGGUCCUAUCGAACGGUUUCAUGAGUUGAUGGUUCAAUUUAGACCAGGCAAAAGUUGAGGGAUCAUAAUUAGGCUUUUCCAAACAUAAAUGAAUGUCAUGCUGUAAAAGUAGUGUUCGUCAUCCAGUAAACUGGUUCGAAUAUCCAACAAGCGCACAACUACUUUAUACACAUCUAAAGAAAGAACAGCUAUUUACAUACCACACAAAGGAGCUGCCUUUUACCAGGAGUUUCAGUUCCUUGGUUGCCAAAUUUUGCUUCUAAAACCGCAAUCAGCGCAAUAUUAUCCUUCAAAGCAAAUAGAACGUGUGAUAAAUAACAUCACUUUUUUUUGCGAAAAGUGAUAAAUAACAUCACUGUAGCAUACAUUAUUUCUUUUGAAGUUAAUCUUACUUUAAUCAGUCGACUUAAAGCCACUCUUUUCUGGGAAGCUGGAAUAAUAGCUUCUGUUAAAGACUGUGCAGCCUUAUUGAACUCAACCUACACAAGCAAGUACAAGUAUUAGAUAGCUGCAAAUAUCAAGCUGCUGCAAACCUGCAGUACAGGUACCUCGUAUUUUUUGACAUGUGAAAAUCUAUCUCUACGGAAGAAAGUAGCACAGCCAUCAAUGGCAUUAGGAACUCCAGCAUACACCUGUGACAACAGUAAAGUAAAAUCAAACAAGAGACAAAAGGUAUUAAACCAAAAUAUGAAGGAAAAAAUCAACCCAAAGAUACCUCUGUUGUCCGUUUCUUGUAAAGCGCCUGAUACCCAUGUUUAUCAAACUCAGGAGCAAAAAAAUCCUCAAAGUGGUUCAAUUGUACCUGAAAACAGUAGGACUUGGCUUAAUUCCCUCCUGUUACAAUCUUCGGUCACUCUUCGUUUUUAUUGUAAGCCGCUUCAGUAAACUCUUCAUAAUAUAUAUGCAGACAAUAUUCGUGAAAGUUUAAACAGCAAGCAAACUAUCAUAAAUUCAUAAUCCAACAUCACUGAAAAGUGAAAACAAUCAAACAAAGUGAUGGCACAAAUAUGGAAACGAACAGCCCAGCAGUAUAUGAAAGAUUGUAGGUUGAUGAACAGGGUUCCGGCAUUAAAGUUUACCGAGUCGCAAAAAUUAUAUGAUCAACCAAAUGAGACAUGCUCGGUUCCUAAAACAAAUAUAUGAGAUGAAAAGCUGAAAAUAGGUCACCAAAAUAAAUAAAUUCAGAAGAUAGCAAACAUAUGAUACCUCCUGAAGACAUAUAAUAUCAGCAUGAUAACCAAUAAUUUCGCGCAUCAAAUUUUGUCUUCUGUAAGUCCAUGAAAGUGCCCACGUUGGGCAGUAGCUAUAUGCAUCAGAUGUAGCAUAUGCAUCAGCAAGAAUAUUAUAGGACAGCACCGUGAAUGUCCCAAAAGAAGAAGUCUGGCUGUCUAUAUCUGAGUGACCCAAAACAUCUCCAUUCACUUGGAUAAGGCGGCGUGGAGUAGGAGUUGGUGCUGGAAUCACACGUGAUGUCAUAAUUGAAGUUGGAGACCCCGCAGGUACUUUCUUUUCCGUAUCCACCGCUGCACAUUCAAAUCUUAGAACAUGCCCAAUAUCAUCAGCAGUUGGUGUAUACGUCUGCGAGCGUCCCACUUCAAACCAUGUUUCACCCGAGUUCUUAUCAGUGCCUGAGGGAUACAAGGGAACAGGUCCAUUAUUAACUCCAGGGCUCUGUCCAAGAUUUGACAUUGAGCCAGACCCAGAACUUAGAAUCCCAGAACUACCGCUGCCAAAUCUACCAAAUAGCUCCUCCUCUUCAGCUCCAUUUUCAUUUAAAGCACUACUAGCUCGCUCAUGCAAAACCCUGUGGUGCUGCCAUGCAUCAGAGAAGCACUUAGCAGAACAAUGGUAGCUCUUAGCAGCAGGUAUUUUUGACUUGAGACAACCUAAGCACUGAAUUGUUGCUUGCUCCAUCGGAUGUACACUGCAGAUAGUAACUUUUCGAUCACUCUGUAUGCGAUACCUUCGAGCGAAAAGUCAAAUCAGUAUAACCAUGUGCUACUAGAUACAGAAAAAGUUUAGAAGAACAUGAUUGAAUAUAGUAACUACAAGAAAGGACACCUAAAUUGCCAAUGUUUUAGCAUGUAUGAGAUCCAGGAAAACUUGCUAUCAGCAUCUUGGAAGUCCAUUAUUCAGAGACAUUAGACUCACAACACUUCCAUUAUAAGCAUAGUAUGAAUAAGGCAAAAUGAAGCAGGUUGCCAAGAUGUCGCAAAAAAAAAGAAGCAAAUUACAAGUUUGCUUGUCAUGAGUUGCUGCUGCUGUUGUUUUUUCUUGAUUUUAGUCCCUCAACCGGCUAACUCGUGAUCAUUCAUCUCUUGCUUUCUUUACCAGAUCAACCAUGCAACUGAUUUCUUUAGCGGACCAGGCAAUAUAUGUAAUAAGCAAAAUUCUACAGUUUAGAUCAGAGAUUCAGAGGACUAUUGCAGGCUCUCAUAUAUCAUCAUUAGGGCAUGACGACCAGACAAGGAAGUUGCUGUGUAUAUUAUUAUUCCUAGAAGAAAAACAUUUAAGUACUGUUCAAGGAGGCGACCAACUAUAGCCCAGUGCCCACCCCAUCAAUCGAUUAGUGUCUUUCAGAACACUUCAUUUCAACAAUGUGUCUAUAAAUGGCCACACUUACUAUACUCAAACCUCAAACCUUAAAAGUGAAUAAAGAUGCACAUAUCACAUGAGAUUCUAUCAAGCUAAUGACUGAAAAGCAACACAAUGAAAAUAUAAAAAACUAUAGAAUUGAAGGACCAAAACCAAUGAAACUGCAUGAGUGUUAGUGGGACCAAGCACCACCAUUUCGAAAAGUUCUAAGGUCUAAAGUCUCAGCAAUAAAUGCUAUUUAAACCUACAUGACAUUAAAAAAACGGAUGUGAUAAAACAAAUAAAUAUUCACGAACAUGAUCAAUCAUUCAGAGCGGGAUUCUAAAAUUGAUCACUGAAAUUGUUCGGCCACCCAGCUAUUAGUGAUUAUACAGCCGAGCUAGCUCAUUGCAGUGGGUGGCAUAACCAGCGGUUACAAGUUCUUUUCUCUCAUAUUUGCCUCUCCAUUUUUCAUUUUUUUAUUUCCAAAUAGAUCUACAAUGUUAUUUGAAUUUUAAAAAUAAUAGGUAGGGCACUCCUUACAUACAUGACCUCCUAGGCCAUUUAAAACAAAUAUGCAUUGUUUGGGGUUUUUUAUAUAACAUAAAGUAAGUUAACUAUGACACACUGCCAAAAUAUUUUUGCAUAAAAAACAUUAAAUUUGAUAUAGCACAGAAAGAACGUGGAUAUCCAGCAAGAGAUUAAAGAAGGCAAAGUGGGGCAGGCAGUCAGCAAAACAAAACUAGUGGAUCACGAGUUUCAAACUUUUACUAGCUUUAAGCAACUGAAAUAACUUGCCACUGAACCUAGUGAGCCAACAACUCUAACGUGUAAUAGCAAACAAGUAAUAAUUCUUUUGAAGCUCCAGAAUAAUCAAAACUGAGUCUAGAAUCAAGCUAGAAUGCCCAUUUGAGUUCACUGGUGAUGUUAGAGUGAUACUUAGUUCAAGGAGUAUAUCCAGAUACCCCAAUCAAAAAAAUCAUCUGAAGCCAUGCGAACAAACUGAUGGCACUUCUAGAAUAGUGUCUUUCCACAAAAUUAGUUAGAUAAGCCUAUGUAAUCCCAAAAUUUAUAAAAUGCUCCCGUUCCAUCCAAGAUGAACGUAAACAUUCCUGCACAACGAUUGGCAACAAUCCUCAACCCAACAGCCUUCAUCACCAUCCUAUGAUGCUAUCUAACACUCAAUAGUUCUAGCAAAACCAAAAUCAGAUGGUCUGUUUUGCUCAAUGAAUUACUUAUUAUCAUUACCAACCCGUGUGGCAGGUUGAUAUGGCAUAGACUAAAUAGUAUGAUUCAUAAACAGGCUUAAAAUAAUGCAAUACUGAGUUCUUUACCAAAUCAAGCAUUGGCAUUUCAUGUUCCCUGGGUUUCCAUUCGUUCCAAAAACAAACAACUGUCUUGCUAGAGAAAAUCAUGCUCAGAAUUCAUAUAGUUGUGCUUCAUUUAUGCAAGAAUCAAGACGAUUCAUGAGUUUAGCAAGUAGUUAAGCAUCUAGCAAACUGAUUGAUACUUAAAGCCCCCAUUUUCUUUUUUUCUUUUUUGUCAAAAUUCACUUGUAGCAACGCACAAGCGGAACUAAGCAUUCGAAAGUGUAUAUCCUAUUGAACCAAAAGUUGCAAUCACGAGCUGCUCACUCACCAUCUGUAUCGCAUGAAGUGGCCAUCAACAGGCGCGGCCUCAGGCACGUCGUCGGUGGAGAUUACACCGUUGGGCAGCCGCAGCAGCACGUACGGGGUGAUUUCGCACCCCACGAUCGGGAUCUCCGACGGCAGGUGCACCCGCACC